rnacentral:rRNA from 1 species
CUUGCUUCUCUUGAGAGCGGCGGACGGGUGAGUAAUGCCUAGGAAUCUGCCUGGUAGUGGGGGAUAACGUCCGGAAACGGACGCUAAUACCGCAUACGUCCUACGGGAGAAAGCAGGGGACCUUCGGGCCUUGCGCUAUCAGAUGAGCCUAGGUCGGAUUAGCUAGUUGGUGGGGUAAUGGCUCACCAAGGCGACGAUCCGUAACUGGUCUGAGAGGAUGAUCAGUCACACUGGAACUGAGACACGGUCCAGACUCCUACGGGAGGCAGCAGUGGGGAAUAUUGGACAAUGGGCGAAAGCCUGAUCCAGCCAUGCCGCGUGUGUGAAGAAGGUCUUCGGAUUGUAAAGCACUUUAAGUUGGGAGGAAGGGCAGUAAAUUAAUACUUUGCUGUUUUGACGUUACCGACAGAAUAAGCACCGGCUAACUCUGUGCCAGCAGCCGCGGUAAUACAGA